CGCGGGACACGGGAUGCCAUGAGGGGAAUGUUGUUACUGUUUUCAGUUAGCUAUUUCAUUUUCUCCUGUGAGCACACGGUGCCAGGUGUGGAGUGGCAUGACCAUGAUGUGGUUCAGAUAGAAUAUUCACAGACAUCGUCAUGUCUUUCUGGUGAUCCAGACCUGUACUGUACGGUUUUCCCAGUACCAGGGCCACGGAGAUUGCUGCCAUGAAGCAAGAGCCGUGUUUUGUACAACAUUCUCCGAUUAAAGUGUUUGGAUUCCAACAUAUUCUUGGAAAACAUUCCUAUUUUUGUCUGAGUGCCAGAGGUGGAACAGACAUCUACAACAAAGGUGCCGAAUCCAAAUCUCUACACGAUUGAGCUGAGCCACGGGGACUUUAUGUGGAAAAUCAAACGCUGUUUCAGCGCUUCCAAGCUCCACAUCAGGAGCUGCUGAUGUUCAAGGCUCUUCUAAAGCUCCCCCUGCCAACCUGUAUGUAAGAACUGCUAAUUUGCUCACCUUUUGCCACUCACUUACAAAUGCAGCACAUGAAACCCCCACACAUGCGCACUUGCAAACUUACACACAGAUACAUGCACAACUGACUUUAAGCAAGAAACCUAUUUUUACCCGCUGCCCUGAGUGUUCAUUUCUCAGCUGAUGGUACUCAAUUUCUUUUCAGCUCACUCUCUCAUUUCCUUCUGUUCAGCAGUUUGGAAAGAUACAACAUGUUCUCACAGACAAUGGAAAUUCAUUUCUAUAACAAGCCCAGUGAAGGGUUUCAAAAAACAGCUUCCAGCUGAAUAAAAUCUAACAGAGUGUGAUUAAGGCUACACUGAUAUUGGGCUUUAGAACAACUGCAAAUCCGUUGCCACUGUAAGCUCAAUUUUAACAAAAUACUGUUUAUUUUAUUUUAUUUUAUUUUGGUAAUUCAAGAAGGUGGAUAGCAUGCACAUGAAACCCCAGUCUACAAAGAAAGAGGUUGUACACACACUGAAAACUGCAAGAUCCCAAAACUUUGAUGGUGCAUUAACUAAGAUUUACACAAUGCUUGAUAAGUACAGUUAAAAUGGGACAGGACAAGGUGUCUUUCAGCUUACACAACCAACCUCCAAGACACUCUGCUGCCUACAGCCCUUCUGCUGUUAUUCCAGUUUCUCUACCCUGUUGUCAAAGUAUGGUCUGUAAAUUAGCCCCACCUGACACCUUUGAAAGUUGUAAAAAUAGUUUUUCAAACCACAAGUAUGAACAGCCAGCUAUGAGGUGCUCUUGGUAGCUAAAACUCUAAAACAGCAGCUGCCAGCUCAAAGCAAUCAUGUUCAUUUGCACAGAAAGAGUAGGACAAAGAAAGAGCAAAAACAUCAGGGUUAACAUCAGUUUGGAUUUUUAAGAUGGAGACUUAUGGAGAACACGAUGCAGCACAAUGUGAAAUUCUCUCCCAUUCAUUUUCAAUGAGACAUGAACAAAUCGCUUCACAAAGUUUUUUGGGAUUCUAGGUGACAUGAAACGAGCUCGACCAAAGGGAGGGGAUCAGAAAAUAAAAAUGUUUAACUUUAUGCAAAUGAAGGUGAAAUUUAGGUGUAGCGAAUAGCUUUAAUGGGGCAUGACUUAUUUGCUUUCAGUGGGUCAUCAGCAGCCAAAGGUCUCAGAUUAGAUUCUGAUGUGGCUUUUUUCUUCCUGGCUGCGUUGGCAUCUAAAGCUAACGUGUUUGUUUUGGUAACAUUAGCAACCUAGCAUGGUCAUGGUGUUACCUUUGUGACAAAUUAAUUGGGAGAAUUUGAGCUUUGUGUAACAUUAGUGCUGUGUUAGACCGUCUCGUCAACCUCAUCAUUUGACAGUGUACCGCUGCAGUGCUGCCAUAGAGCCAGGACUCUAGGCACUUCAUGAUAGCUUGCACCUGGCGGAUGCGUUUUGUUCAGUUUGUCCCAACCAGACAUCUAUAGUUUACAUUGUUGUUAGGAAACAAGACAUCAGUUCUAAUGGUUGAAAAUAAAUGAGUUAAUGCACCUUUAAUGUUGUAAAGUUCACAUCAGGCAAAUGUAAUGUUUGAGUAAAAACCUGAGAGCUGUUAAAAUCCUGCUGAGUAUUAUCUAGUUCAUUCUUUUUUCUUAAAUGCAUCUCAAGACAUUUAAUGGCUUAACAUACAUCUCUGGUGGAGAAAUGUAUGCCAUAGAAUGUAGUACAGCCUUUAUAUAAAGCAAUAUUAAUAAUAGUGUUGUGAUUUAAGAUUUGUAAUGAAACAGUUAUUAGACUAUGUAUGCCGAGGUGACACACACUGUCAGACAGAUGCAGCUGGUGGAAAAUACCUUCAAAAGCACAGCGUACAGGA